rnacentral:rRNA from 1 species
AUUGAACGCUGGCGGAAUGCUUUACACAUGCAAGUCGAACGGUAGAGGGGGCAACCCUUGAGAGUGGCGAACGGGUGAGUAAUAUAUCGGAACGUGCCCAGUCGUGGGGGAUAACGUAGCGAAAGCUACGCUAAUACCGCAUACGAUCUAAGGAUGAAAGCGGGGGAUCGCAAGACCUCGCGCGAUUGGAGCGGCCGAUAUCAGAUUAGGUAGUUGGUGAGGUAAAGGCUCACCAAGCCAACGAUCUGUAGCUGGUCUGAGAGGACGACCAGCCACACUGGAACUGAGACACGGUCCAGACUCCUACGGGAGGCAGCAGUGGGGAAUAUUGGACAAUGGGCGAAAGCCUGAUCCAGCCAUGCCGCGUGUGUGAAGAAGGUCUUCGGAUUGUAAAGCACUUUAAGUUGGGAGGAAGGGUAGUAACCUAAUACGUUGCUACUUUGACGUUACCGACAGAAUAAGCACCGGCUAACUUCGUG